rnacentral:rRNA from 1 species
AUCCUCGGCCAUAGGAAGUGAAGAACUCCCCGUCCCGUCCGAUGCGCGAAGACAAAUCACUUGCUGUUCGAAUAGCACCUUGUUGGUGGUGGGGAAGGAACUGCGGGGGAACUCCAAGUGCUGGGGAAA